UAUACAAUAAAUCAAUAAUAUCACAUGAAUUGCUGUUAUUUUUUUACAGUAAAACUACCAUGAUUUUAAAACCUAGGUGUUAAAUAUUUAAUUAAAAAAGUCACAAACCCAUGUGUCGUUUUAAAAGUAAUUUCUGAUAUAAAGGAAACAAUAAGAUACUGGGGACCAAGUUACAGUCAAGUGUUUUUUUUUUUAUUUCAAAACAAAUUUUGAAUCAUUCUAUUUUUAUUUUACUCUUAGAAAUUGCAUUUACCCAGAUGUAAUUGUUCAAACUAGAUGACUCAUUAUUAUGUGCACACGUAAUGGCGUAUUAGCAUAACAGAACUAUUUCUCACUCAAAACUGUGUAAAGUUACGAGACAGUUUUUUACUAUAAUUAUUCAACAGCGUGAACUUAAUUAUAGUGAUAAUUAUUGUAUUAUAUUUAGUAUGUUAUUCAAAAUAUGGGAAAAAUAUACUGAAACUUGCUAAAUUGUUUUCUAUGUUAAAGUUAUAAUAUUAAAGUUUAUCUCGAAUUGUGCUAUACUCACCUGCCGCGAUAAAACUUAGCUAAAAGGACAGCCAUCUUCCAAGUUUAGUUGUAUCCAACCAGGUCGACCGACCAUGAUUCGCAGAGUUGGUUAGGAAUACAGAGUGAAACUUCUGUAAAGGUUCCUAACCUUUUUGAUUGUAUACUAUACAGUCUAAUUUAUCUGAUAUGAGAGGAAUAUGUUGAACAUUUUCAUUGCGUACAAAUUGUUAAUUCAAAAUUUCUGGUUUGUUUGGAGAUAAUAAAAUUACUUGAAAAUUUAUCUUUACCUGAAUAGCAGAUUUGAAAAUUCUGGGUCAGUUUUUUUAUUCAGUCCUCAAAACUGAAAACAUCUUUCAAUAGAACAAGUAUUAACACCUUUGAAAAGCCAUUAUCGGUUCACUAUGUCACCAAUAGAUAUCUCUAUAGCUGAACGACAUUUUACACUGAAAUUAAUCCAUGGAUAUCAAAGCCAAACGUCGGUAAGGAUUAAAACAAAUAAGUGCAUAGUGCAUAAUAUGUCUGUACCGUUAUUAUUAUACCAUGACUAACCACCUAGGUACAUACUAUACUAUAGUCAUUAAUACUAGAAGCAUCGAUUUUCCGUAAAAAAGAAACCCAAGUAUCAAAUAUUAACAAUUAUUAUUUUAAUAUUAUCUCGUAAAAACCAUAUUA